rnacentral:rRNA from 1 species
CCUACGGGGGGCAGCAGUGAGGAAUAUUGGUCAAUGGACGAGAGUCUGAACCAGCCAAGUAGCGUGAAGGAUGACUGCCCUAUGGGUUGUAAACUUCUUUUAUAAAGGAAUAAAACGAGGCACGUGUGCCUUUUUGCAUGUACUUUAUGAAUAAGGAUCGGCUAACUCCGUGCCAGCAGCCGCGGUAAUACGGAGGAUCCGAGCGUUAUCCGGAUUUAUUGGGUUUAAAGGGAGCGUAGAUGGGUUGUUAAGUCAGUUGUGAAAGUUUGCGGCUCAACCGUAAAAUUGCAAUUGAUACUGGCAGUCGUGAGUACAGUUGAGGUAGGCGGAAUUCGUGGUGUAGCGGUGAAAUGCUUAGAUAUCACGAAGAACCCUGAUUGCGAAGGCAGCUUACUAAACUGUGACUGACAUUGAUGCUCGAAAGUGUGGGUAUCAAACAGGAUUAGAUACCCGAGUAGUC